AGCGCGGGCCCGGCAGCCGCGGGACUCGACAGGCAGAUUGCUGAGGAGGGCGGGCGGGUAGCUCACCCUCACUCCCUGCUCUCAUGAAGACGGGAGAUCUGCGGAGAAGGCUCCUCUUCAGCCUCCUUGCACCAAACGCCCCUCCUUGCCAGCGAUUUCAAGUUGCCUGGAGAAUUACCCCAAAGCAACCAGAGACAUGUUGCCCUUCCCUAGGACUCUAACAGGACGGGACCCCAGUGCUCUGCCAACUCCAGGGGUGCAAUACAAAUGAAGGAUUCUGCCUCGGACCCCUGCAUGGCAGAGUGGUGCUCUUACAUGGGUUUUAGCAGUGUUAUCCUCAGAUGAAUUCAAGUGAGGCAAGCUCAGGAGCUGACAAGCACAAAUAAAUCUCCAAGUGAAUGACUUGGUAGUUCGUGUGUGUA